rnacentral:rRNA from 1 species
AUGCACAAUGAACAUAUUUUAAUACACAGCAAUUAUUUUCAAACAAAAGUUAAGCAUUUUUUCUGUAAAACUUGCGAACAUUCCUUAAGGGUGUAUGAAUAUUGUAUAAAUGACACAGUAUUUUAA